AAGUUGCAGGGUAUAGACCCGAAACCCGGUGAUCUAGCCAUGGGCAGGUUGAAGGUUGGGUAACACUAACUGGAGGACCGAACCGACUAAUGUUGAAAAAUUAGCGGAUGACCUGUGGCUGGGGGUGAAAGGCCAAUCAAACCGGGAGAUAGCUGGUUCUCCCCGAAAGCUAUUUAGGUAGCGCCUCGUGAAUUCAUCUCCGGGGGUAGAGCACUGUUUCGGCUAGGGGGCCAUCCCGGCUUACCAACCCGAUGCAAACUGCGAAUACCGGAGAAUGUUAUCACGGGAGACACACGGCGGGUGCUAACGUCCGUCGUGAAGAGGGAAACAACCCAGACCGCCAGCUAAGGUCCCAAAGUCAUGGUUAAGUGGGAAACGAUGUGGGAAGGCCCAGACAGCCAGGAUGUUGGCUUAGAAGCAGCCAUCAUUUAAAGAAAGCGUAAUAGCUCACUGGUCGAGUCGGCCUGCGCGGAAGAUGUAACGGGGCUAAACCAU
rnacentral:rRNA from 4 species